GUGCCAGCAGCUGCGGUAAUACGGAGGGUGCAAGCGUUAAUCGGAAUUACUGGGCGUAAAGCGCACGCAGGCGGUCUGUCAAGUCGGAUGUGAAAUCCCCGGGCUCAACCUGGGAACUGCAUUCGAAACUGGCAGGCUGGAGUCUUGUAGAGGGGGGUAGAAUUCCAGGUGUAGCGGUGAAAUGCGUAGAGAUCUGGAGGAAUACCGGUGGCGAAGGCGGCCCCCUGGACAAAGACUGACGCUCAGGUGCGAAAGCGUGGGGAGCAAACAGGAUUAGAUACCCUGGUAGUCCACGCCGUAAACGAUGUCGACUUGGAGUUGUGCCCUUGAGCGUGGCUUCCGGAGCUAACGCGUUAAGUCGACCGCCUGGGGAGUACGGCCGCAAGGUUAAAACUCAAAUGAAUUGACGGGGCCGCACAAGCGGUGGAGCAUGUGGUUUAAUUCGAUGCAACGCGAAGAACCUUACCUACUCUUGACAUCCAGAGAACUUAGCAGAGAUGCUUUGGUG
rnacentral:rRNA from 1 species